CCUACGGGAGGCAGCAGUGGGGAAUAUUGGGCAAUGGAGGCAACUCUGACCCAGCAACGCCGCGUGAAUGAUGAAGGUCUUCGGAUGGUAAAGAUCUUUUCUAAGGGAAGAAGAAAGUGACGGUACCGUAGGAAUAAGCCUCGGCUAACUACGUGCCAGCAGCCGCGGUAAGACGUAGGAGGCAAGCGUUAGCCGGACUGACUGGGCGUAAAGGGGGCGGAGGUGGUUUGACAAGUUAGUAGCGCAACUCCGGAGCUCAACGUCGGAACUACUACGAAAACGGUUGGACUUGAGUGCAGGAGGGGCCAUCGCACUUCCUCGUGUAGCGGUGUCAUGCGUAGAUAUUCGGAGGAACCCCAGUGGCGAAGGCGGCUUGCUAGACUGUACCUGCCACUGCGGCAC
rnacentral:rRNA from 1 species